AUGCUCUUGUUGGCUUCCUUCAUGUUCACAGAAACCCAUCAAGCCAAGGAUAAAGAAAUUCCAGUGGACGGUAUGGAAUUCAUGGGACCCAACAAGCCAGGAAGCCAGAGAGCUGAUAAAUCUCGCAGUGUAGUGGUUGGCGCUACUGCCUUUGAACCCCAGGGUCGCGCCUCAACUCCGGCUGUAGUACCCUUGAGCAAGGUAAUUACCCAAAAUUUCUCCAGUAAAAUUACCUCUGGAAUUUAAAUAAUACAGCGACAUGCAAAUCACACGUCCGUUUAUGUCGGUAGCAAUUUAUAAUAAUAAUAAGAAAUCAGUUGUCCUUAAAAGCCCAAUAAUUUCGGCUUUACUGUUUAUUUACCCAGCUGUAUAAAUGGGUAAAUAAUUGUAACCAAUAGAGAAACGCGUAAGCUAAAUGAAUCAAUGUAACAAUACACAGAAAAACUAAAGUAUCACAUACAUAGUGAACAAAAGCCGUGCCUGCUACAGAGUUCUAACGAAAAUUUGAUUUUUUUUCAUUCUUUAUAAACUUUUACAAAUCAAAGAAAUAGAACGCACUAAAGAUGCUGACCAAACAUGUAAAAAACAUAGUUGCUCUGAUCAUGCACCACGAGGAGAAAAUAUUGUGUAUUUCGAUGUGACCCUCGCUGUGUGAGAAAAUGUGACGUACAGAAGAAAUUAUAGAAAAAAAGUGUUCGCAAAGCAAAUGUCUUCGGUGGGAACAUAAAUCUUUUGUCCAUUUAAUGCGGUGACAUAAUCGAAAACUAUCCAUUGUAGUACAUGUUUACAGCGCAACACUGCUGUGAACACACACACAUCUUCUGAACCGCUUGUCGUGUGGUGAAAAUGGUGGCUUUUAGGUUUCUUCUAAAGCACUAAAACUUCAUAUUUCAAAUGUCAAAGUGUGACCAUAAAAAUGUGGUGACAAAGGGGGGGAAAAAUAACUGCGCCCGAACAGGGACUUGAACCCUGGACCCUCAGAUUAAAAGUCUGAUGCUCUACCGACUGAGCUAUCCGGGCUCUUAGUAAAAACUCCAACUGCACCUAUUUAGUACGUCAUGAAGCAACUGUUCCUUUUCUGUUAUGAAUAUGUAAUUAUUAUAAAUUGUAUUUGUAACAUGGAUAGUUCUUUUUGUAAUACAUUCUACCACAACCGGGUGCUAAAACAGUAAAUACACGGGCUAAACAAUUCCCUUUGUAAAACAAGACCUGGCGGAGGCCGUAUUACGACGAGCUUGAAAUGGCG
rnacentral:tRNA from 1 species